rnacentral:rRNA from 1 species
GACGAACGCUGGCGGCGUGCUUAACACAUGCAAGUCGAACGGAAAGGCCCUGCUUUUGUGGGGUGCUCGAGUGGCGAACGGGUGAGUAACACGUGAGUAACCUGCCCUUGACUUUGGGAUAACUUCAGGAAACUGGGGCGAAUACCGGAUAGGAGCUCCUGCUGCAUGGUGGGGGUUGGAAAGUUUCGGCGGUUGGGGAUGGACUCGCGGCUUAUCAGCUUGUUGGUGGGGUAGUGGCUUACCAAGGCUUUGACGGGUAGCCGGCCUGAGAGGGUGACCGGCCACAUUGGGACUGAGAUACGGACCAGACUCCUACGGGCGGCAGCAGUGGGGAAUAUUGCACAAUGGGCGGAAGCCUGAUGCAGCAACGCCGCGUGCGGGAUGACGGGCUUCGGGUUGUAAACCGCUUUCGCCUGUGCCGAAGCGUGAGUGACGGUAAUGGGUAAAGAAGCAACGGCUAACUACGUG